rnacentral:rRNA from 1 species
UACGGAGGGUGCAAGCGUUAUCCGGAUUCACUGGGUUUAAAGGGUGCGUAGGAGGGCAGGGAAGUCAGUGGUGAAAUCUCCGGGCUUAACUCGGAAACUGCCGUUGAUACUCUCUGUCUUGAAUCCCGUGGAGGUGAGCGGAAUAUGUCAUGUAGCGGUGAAAUGCUUAGAUAUGACAUAGAACACCAGUUGCGAAGGCAGCUCGCUACACGAAGAUUGACUCUGAGGCACGAAAGCGUGGGGAUCAAACAGG